UUUUCACCAACCAACACAUUUCCCCACCAUCCCCACUCGAUUAUACCCCAACCCAUCAUCCAUCACCUUUUUGUACUUCUUAUCUUCUUAGAAACCAUUUCUUUUUCAAAACUCCAUUGUUCUUUCUUCAAUUUUCUCUGCGUUAGAAUGGGAGAUCCACACCAAUAAUGGAAGAUCUUCCUACAUACUCUCCCACCAAUGUUAUCCCGAACCGCUUUAUCCUUGAUGAAUCUUCGGCGACUCACGGUGGUUCAUCUUCUUCAGGUGAAAAGAUGUUUUGUGUUCAAGAUGAAGAUGGUUAUCAAGAAGCGAAGCCCGCCGAAGGAUUACAACGCAUCAUCAGGUUUUCGUGGUGACGAUGGUGUGUUUUUUGGUUGGCUGCUAUGUGUUGUGAAGAUGGAUGUUGUUGUGAAGACCAUUUUUAGAAGCAUUACAACUAUGGAUAUAGAAUUCAUUUUUAUUUUCA